CUCAUCACGGGUAGCUCCCCUCUAUAAAUUCGUGUAUUAUGGAGUGGAAAGUAGUUUGCCGCUGUCGCUCUUUGAGGUGUCUUUUGUAGAGAUUCCUUUUUCCUUUCCCACUUCGCGUCCAAGAUCUGCAACAAAUCUUCAAGGAAAAAUGGGAUCCAAUUUCGUGUCCAAGGAAGACCACCAUCACCAGGCUCCGUCGCGGCGGGGCGUUAGGAGGACCUGGUCCUCCAACUCGUCCACGUGCGGCCAUGGCGCCGCCGCUGUCCCCAAGUGCGUGUGUGCUCCAGCCACUCAUGCGGGCUCCUUUAAGUGCCGCCUCCACCGGGCGAGCUCCCACGGCCACUCGCCCCCCUCCCCCACCUCGAUCCGUCCGCCGCCGCCGUCCGCGAACUCCUCUCGCGCUCCCACCGUGGAAGCCCAGUGACUCGAACGAGGGCCAGAGCGAGGAAGAACUGUUAAAGAAGGGAAAUAUUUGGUGAUUCCCGAUGGCUAGCGAGAGUUUUCAUCUUGGCAUGGUGUAUUGUGUUUUCCACCCAUACUAUGCUCACUGCAGCUUCCUUAUUUUAUUUUGUACGGAAGAAACAGCACCGAGUGUGAUUAGUGUUGUAAUUAGUGUUAAAAUAAAGAGAUAAAUGAGUUGUAGAAGAAGAAGUUGAAUGUUAUUGACA